rnacentral:rRNA from 1 species
GUCUGUGGCCAUACCACUCUGAUCUCGUCUGAUCUUGGAAGCUAAGUACGGUUGGGCCUGGUUAGUACUUGAAUGGGAGACCACAUGGGAAUACCGGGUGCUGUAAGAA